UCUACUUUCAAUAAAUUUUCUAUCUUUUUUCCGAAUGGAAAGUUGACAGAAAGUAGACCUAUGAAAUAGAUCUAUUUUCUUUGGUCAGACUUUUGAUUCGCAAUGUUUUUUCUUUCUAUUUUCUAGAUAACUCUCAUUUUCUUGGUAUUUUUUGGAAGUUUUCUUAAUAUUUUUUUUCUAGAAAAAAAUUCUAUUUUGCUACUUGGGUAUACGGCUCUCUUCGCUAUCACGGCAAAGUUCAACCUCUAAAAGUCGUCGUCAAUUUGUCUUUAAAACUGCAAAAAGCCACAUCGCACCUACCAAUAAGGGUGAUCAGGGGUGAGCCAACGGCGGCGGUUGAGGGACGGCGGGUUGACGGUUGGCAUGCGUCGAGACGCCCUGGCCGCCGACCACGGCGCCGCGACGCCCCUAAAGCUUCAGUGUCGACGCGACUUCGCGCAAAGCUUAGCGUGGGAUCUCUGUCUCUCGUCCCUUUCUCGCGACGCGUAAAUUCUCUCGUGGUUCUCGAAAAUUCCGCAAAAAUUAGAGUGAAUUCGCACAAAUUUCACGCAAAUUUGGGAAUUAUUGGAGCUGCCCAGAGUUGUCUUACUACAAGUGAAUUAGUUGUGUAAUUUGUGAUUUUACAAUUUGAAAUUACCUAAAAGCUGCCAAAUUUGCCCAAAAUACAAACAUUUAUGAGCCCCUCAUAAGUGCACACGCCUGUUUUCUAUUUGAAAAUCAUUAUUGACGUGAAGGUUUUCAAAUAUUAAUUGAACGUGACCUAGAGUGCAAUAAUUAGUCAAGUGUUGAAUCAGCAAGGCGUGAUCCGAAUAUAGCUCACAAUCGUGAAAGGUAAGAUUUCAAUCCAUUUUUUCAUUGUGCUUUCUGUUCCGAAUUUUUCUGCAAGGGGUGCAAAAUUAUAAGUUCGUGUUGCUUUCUCUUCGAGUUUUAAAUUAAAAUCAGUGGAAUAGAUAAAUUAACGGGUUAUUUUUUUAUAAUGGCAAGUAUGGUUACAUAUUAAUCACGAUUAACGAUUGACAGCAAUGAGAGAAUACACACACAAUUUUUUCAUUAAUGUUUUUUCUUUAAUUCCUUUUUCAUCUGUGAGAAAAUAAUUGACGACCACGAAAACUUACGGUACAGCUGACAACUUCCUUACGUGAUAUAUGAAGUUGAGGGUGCUCGAGAUCUGGUGGCCCUGAGAAGGGCCGUUUUAGAAGUGAUGAGCUGGAGCAGGAUCGAAGCUGUGCUGAAUCGAGCAGGAACGCAGGAGCAGUGCUGGAGCGUGUGGCCGCGUGACAGUGUCGAACUACGGUGAGCUCUGGAGGCGGAAGUCCGCCGCUAUAUAGCGCCGUGCGCUAUGAGCGGGAGCCAAUGAGAGGCCAGAGCGGUGAGCGCGGCAGUGCGAGGCGCUGAUUGGCCGAGCAAGGUGGCAGGAAAGCUCGGUGAGCUUGUGUCGCCACAGCAGCCCCCUGGGAAGUGACGGAGUCACGUCUCUGGUCGAAGAGCUAGGACUAGAGAAUGGGCUGAAACAAAGUGAGAGAAACAUUGGCUUGUUAGAAAAUCACUUCCCCACAAGUGUGGAGGGUGGAAAGCGGAAUUGGACGCGUCGUCCAGAACGUGUCUUGUAGGAUUCUUCGUUUGCUGGUUUGGGCGUCUCAACUACAGGUUUCGGUGUCUUAACUUCUGCUUUGCUGGGCGCGGUGGGUUUUUGCGGUGCAGCCGGGCCUGGAAGUGCUUGCAGAACUGGAGUCUUGACGGCCGGGAGUUGUUCGUUGGCCAUGAGAUAAGCCGGUUUGACCCUGUCUAUGGAGACACGUGAUUCCUUUCCCUUAAUCAGCAGAGUGACCGUUUUCUCGUCACGACGGAUGACGGGGUGUGGUCCUGAGAAAGGAGGUUGGAGGGAGCGCCGGACCGUGUCAUCUCGCAGGAAAACAUGUUCGCAAGUUGCGAGGUCUUUGAAGAUGAAGGUGUUGGGCUGACAAUGGCGUGACGCAGGAGUGGGUCGUAGAGUGGCCAUUUGUUUGCGAAGUCGGUUGACAAAAUCAGAAGGUUCUUCUUGGUCACUAGCGGUGCUGGGAGCUAGGAGUUCGCCGGGUAGUCGGAGAGGUUCUCCGUAGAGUAACUCGGCUGGUGAGGCUUUGAUGUCCUCUUUGAAACUGGAACGGAUUCCAAGGAGUACUAUGGGUAGAGCUUCAACCCAAGUUGUAUCAGGGUGACACAUAAGUGCUGCUUUCAGGUGCCGGUGUAAGCGUUCGAUCAUGCCGUUGGCGAUGGGAUGAUACGCUGUUGUUCUGGGCCUUUCUGUACCCAAGGUUUUGCCAAGUGAGCGGUAGAGUUGAGACUCAAAUUGGCGACCUUGGUCGGUUGUGAUGCGGACAGGUGAGCCAAAUCGGGAGAUCCAGCAGUUGAGGAGUCCAUCUGCAACUUCGUCAGCGGUGAUACCUUGGAGGGGCCAAACUUCUGGCCAGCGGGUAAAGCGGUCUACUGCAGUGAGGCAGUAACGGUAACCUUUGGAGUAAGGCAGAGGGCCGAUCAGGUCUAUGUGCACAUGUUGAAAGCGAUUUGAAACAGGUGGAAAAGUUCCAAAAGGGUUUGAACAUGGCGUGAGACUUUGGCACGUUGGCAGGCUGCGCAGGAUCGGGCCCAGGUGCGGCAAUCUUUCCGCGCGUUAGGCCAGACAAAACGGGAAGACACAAGUUGUGCUGUAGCCUUGAUACCAGGAUGACUGAGUCCGUGAAUCGAGUCAAAGAUUUGGCGCCGGAGUCCAGCGGGCACGUAAGGUCGUGGCUUGGGUGUGCUUGUAUCACAGUACA
rnacentral:lncRNA from 1 species